GGUUAAGCGACUAAGCGUACACGGUGGAUGCCACGGCAGUCAGAGGCGAUGAAGGACGUGCUAAUCUGCGAUAAGCGUCGGUGAGGUGAUAUGAACCGUUAUAACCGGCGAUUUCCGAAUGGGGAAACCCAGUGUGUUUCGACACACUAUCAUUAACUGAAUCCAUAGGUUAAUGAGGCGAACCGGGGAACUGAAACAUCUAAGUACCCCGAGGAAAAGAAAUCAACCGAGAUUCCCCAGUAGCGGCGAGCGAACGGGGAGGAGCCCAGAGCCUGAAUCAGUGUGUGUGUUAGUGGAAGCGUCUGGAAAGGCGCGCGAUACAGGGUGACAGCCCCGUACACAAAAAUGCACAUGCUGUGAGCUCGAUGAGUAGGGCGGGACACGUGGUAUCCUGUCUGAAUAUGGGGGACCAUCCUCCAAGGCUAAAUACUCCUGACUGACCGAUAGUGAACCAGUACCGUGAGGGAAAGGCGAAAAGAACCCCGGCGAGGGGAGUGAAAAGAACCUGAAACCGUGUACGUACAAGCAGUGGGAGCCUCUUAAUGGGGUGACUGCGUACCUUUUGUAUAAUGGGUCAGCGACUUAUAUUCUGUAGCAAGGUUAACCGAAUAGGGGAGCCGAAGGGAAACCGAGUCUUAACUGGGCGUUAAGUUGCAGGGUAUAGACCCGAAACCCGGUGAUCUAGCCAUGGGCAGGUUGAAGGUUGGGUAACACUAACUGGAGGACCGAACCGACUAAUGUUGAAAAAUUAGCGGAUGACUUGUGGCUGGGGGUGAAAGGCCAAUCAAACCGGGAGAUAGCUGGUUCUCCCCGAAAGCUAUUUAGGUAGCGCCUCGUGAAUUCAUCUCCGGGGUAGAGCACUGUUUCGGCAAGGGGGUCAUCCCGACUUACCAACCCGAUGCAAACUGCGAAUACCGGAGAAUGUUAUCACGGGAGACACACGGCGGGUGCUAACGUCCGUCGUGAAGAGGGAAACAACCCAGACCGCCAGCUAAGGUCCCAAAGUCAUGGUUAAGUGGGAAACGAUGUGGGAAGGCCCAGACAGCCGGGAUGUUGGCUUAGAAGCAGCCAUCAUUUAAAGAAAGCGUAAUAGCUCACUGGUCGAGUCGGCCUGCGCGGAAGAUGUAACGGGGCUAAACCAUGCACCGAAGCUGCGGCAGCGACACUAUGUGUUGUUGGGUAGGGGAGCGUUCUGUAAGCCUGUGAAGGUGUGCUGUGAGGCAUGCUGGAGGUAUCAGAAGUGCGAAUGCUGACAUAAGUAACGAUAAAGCGGGUGAAAAGCCCGCUCGCCGGAAGACCAAGGGUUCCUGUCCAACGUUAAUCGGGGCAGGGUGAGUCGACCCCUAAGGCGAGGCCGAAAGGCGUAGUCGAUGGGAAACAGGUUAAUAUUCCUGUACUUGGUGUUACUGCGAAGGGGGACGGAGAAGGCUAUGUUGGCCGGGCGACGGUUGUCCCGGUUUAAGCGUGUAGGCUGGUUUUCCGGGCAAAUCCGGAAAACCAAGGCUGAGGCGUGAUGACGAGGCACUACGGUGCUGAAGCGACAAAUGCCCUGCUUCCGGGAAAAGCCUCUAAGCAUCAGGUAACAUCAAAUCGUACCCCAAACCGACACAGGUGGUCAGGUAGAGAAUACCAAGGCGCUUGAGAGAACUCGGGUGAAGGAACUAGGCAAAAUGGUGCCGUAACUUCGGGAGAAGGCACGCUGAUAUGUAGGUGAAGCGACUUGCUCGUGGAGCUGAAAUCAGUCGAAGAUACCAGCUGGCUGCAACUGUUUAUUAAAAACACAGCACUGUGCAAACACGAAAGUGGACGUAUACGGUGUGACGCCUGCCCGGUGCCGGAAGGUUAAUUGAUGGGGUUAGCGGUAACGCGAAGCUCUUGAUCGAAGCCCCGGUAAACGGCGGCCGUAACUAUAACGGUCCUAAGGUAGCGAAAUUCCUUGUCGGGUAAGUUCCGACCUGCACGAAUGGCGUAAUGAUGGCCGGGCUGUCUCCACCCGAGACUCAGUGAAAUUGAACUCGCUGUGAAGAUGCAGUGUACCCGCGGCAAGACGGAAAGACCCCGUGAACCUUUACUAUAGCUUGACACUGAACAUUGAGCCUUGAUGUGUAGGAUAGGUGGGAGGCUUUGAAGUGUGGACGCCAGUCUGCAUGGAGCCGACCUUGAAAUACCACCCUUUAAUGUUUGAUGUUCUAACGUUGGCCCGUAAUCCGGGUUGCGGACAGUGUCUGGUGGGUAGUUUGACUGGGGCGGUCUCCUCCUAAAGAGUAACGGAGGAGCACGAAGGUUGGCUAAUCUCGGUCGGACAUCAGGAGGUUAGUGCAAUGGCAUAAGCCAGCUUGACUGCGAGCGUGACGGCGCGAGCAGGUGCGAAAGCAGGUCAUAGUGAUCCGGUGGUUCUGAAUGGAAGGGCCAUCGCUCAACGGAUAAAAGGUACUCCGGGGAUAACAGGCUGAUACCGCCCAAGAGUUCAUAUCGACGGCGGUGUUUGGCACCUCGAUGUCGGCUCAUCACAUCCUCGGGGCUGAAGUAGGUCCCAAGGGUAUGGCUGUUCGCCAUUUAAAGUGGUACGCGAGCUGGGUUUAGAACGUCGUGAGACAGUUCGGUCCCUAUCUGCCGUGGGCGCUGGAGAACUGAGGGGGCUGCUCCUAGUACGAGAGGACCGGAGUGGACGCAUCACUGGUGUUCGGGUUGUCAUGCCAAUGGCACUGCCCGGUAGCUAAAUGCGGAAGAGAUAAGUGCUGAAAGCAUCUAAGCACGAAACUUGCCCCGAGAUGAGUUCUCCCUGAGACUUAGAGUCUCCUGAAGGAACGUUGAAGACGACGACGUUGAUAGGCCGGGUGUGUAAGCGCAGCGAUGCGUUGAGCUAACCGGUACUAAUGAACCGUGAGGCUUAACCUU
rnacentral:rRNA from 1 species